GGUAGCGUGCGGCCGGUCCUAAGGCGCUGGAUUAAGGCUCCAGUCUCUUCGGGGCGUGGGUUCGAAUCCACACCGCUGCCA
rnacentral:tRNA from 1 species